GAGGGUAUAGCUCAAGUGGUAGAGAGCGUGGAUGAGGUCCUGGGUUCAAUUCCCAGUAUCUCCU
rnacentral:tRNA from 1 species